UACAGAGGUCCCAAGCGUUGUUCGGAUUCACUGGGCGUAAAGGGUGCGUAGGCGGUCGGGUAAGUCUGACGUGAAAUCUUCAAGCUCAACUUGGAAACUGCGUCGGAUACUAUUCGGCUAGAGGAAUGGAGGGGAGACUGGAAUACUUGGUGUAGCAGUGAAAUGCGUAGAUAUCAAGUGGAACACCAGUGGCGAAGGCGAGUCUCUGGACAUUUCCUGACGCUGAGGCACGAAAGCCAGGGGAGCAAGCGGG
rnacentral:rRNA from 1 species